rnacentral:rRNA from 1 species
AACGCUAGCUACAGGCUUAACACAUGCAAGUCGAGGGGCAGCAUCAUCAAAGCUUGCUUUGAUGGAUGGCGACCGGCGCACGGGUGAGUAACACGUAUCCAACCUGCCGACAACACUGGGAUAGCCUUUCGAAAGAAAGAUUAAUACCGGAUGGCAUAGUUUUCCCGCAUGGGAUAAUUAUUAAAGAACUUCGGUUGUCGAUGGGGAUGCGUUCCAUUAGGCAGUUGGCGGGGUAACGGCCCACCAAACCAACGAUGGAUAGGGGUUCUGAGAGGAAGGUCCCCCACAUUGGAACUGAGACACGGUCCAAACUCCUACGGGAGGCAGCAGUGAGGAAUAUUGGUCAAUGGACGAGAGUCUGAACCAGCCAAGUAGCGUGAAGGAUGACUGCCCUAUGGGUUGUAAACUUCUUUUAUACGGGAAUAAAGUGAGCCACGUGUGGCUUUUUGUAUGUACCGUAUGAAUAAGGAUCGGCUAACUCCGUGCCAGCAGCCGCGGUAAUACGGAGGAUCCGAGCGUUAUCCGGAUUUAUUGGGUUUAAAGGGAGCGUAGGCGGGUUGUUAAGUCAGUUGUGAAAGUUUGCGGCUCAACCGUAAAAUUGCAGUUGAUACUGGCGACCUUGAGUGCAACAGAGGUAGGCGGAAUUCGUGGUGUAGCGGUGAAAUGCUUAGAUAUCACGAAGAACUCCGAUUG